CUGAGUGAGGGCCUUCGGGCUCGACCUCCAACCCUUUGUGAACACCAACUUGUUGCUUCGGGGGCGACCCUGCCGUUUCCGACGGCGAGCGCCCCCGGAGACCAUCAAACACUGCAUCUUUGCGUCGGAGUUUAAGUAAAUUAAACA
rnacentral:misc_RNA from 1 species